rnacentral:lncRNA from 1 species
UCGACUCGACCAUACUCGAGUCAGCUCAAUCGAGUCUCGGGUUGGCUCAACUGCAUGCCACCAACGUGCCACAAAAUACUACUCUCUAUUUGGAUUUCGAGCCGGCUCUCUCAGGGGUCCGAGCCGGUUCGAGCUAAUCUGAGUUGACUCCUCCUAGUGCCGAAUCGACUCCUCUACGGGAAAAAGCCCUUUGCUUGAUUUUUUGCACCAUCUUACACCCCA